rnacentral:tRNA from 1 species
GCCUGAGUGGCUCAGUUGUUAAGCGUCUGCCUUCGGCUCAGGGCGUGAUCCCGGCAUUCUGGGUUCAAGCCCCACCUCAGGCU